AGUGCAGAGCAGAGCAGAGCAGAGUCAGACACAUUUGAGCCUUAUGUGGAUGUUGCACUGGACAUCACGGAAGUCCGGAGUCUUACAGAUGCUUUAGGGAAAUUUGUUAGGCCUGAGCAAUUUAAUGGCUACAAGUGCAACAGUUUGUGAAAUAUCCAAAACAUGGACAUGUGCCCGUUCAUGUCUGAUGAAGAGAGACACACUUACAAGCUGUAUGCUGUGCUAGUGCACUCUGGAUCCAACUGCCAUAUCGGACACUACUACUGCUAUGUGAAGACUGGUGACCACAAGUAGUACAUGAUUGAUGAUUCCAAGGUGUCCAUCGCUGAUAAAAAAAAAAUAAAAAUACAAAAAUCAGUGCUUAAAGAGCAGGCAUACAUGCUGUUUUAUAUCAGGACACAUUUAAAACUCGGCAGAGAAGAGGAGCGAGCAGCGGAAUCGAGAACACCAAAAAGCAGACCAAAAGGAAACGCGAGUGCUCCCAAAAUCCUGAUAAAGAGGGGUCUACAAUACCUACAACUCUACAGCAAUUCUUGCAGGAAGGAAAUAAACAGAAAAUUAGCUUUAUGGCCCCAGAGCUCAUCCUCAAUGACUUACAGAGAUGCUGAAUAGGCAGUACUGGAGGAAGGCGCCCUAAACUGCUGAAAUCUGUGUUUCAUGAAGGACUGCAGGAGCCGGAGGGAAGCUGCAGAGCCUCCUGACCCGCCUGUCCUUGACUGCUCUUAAAAGAGAGAGAGAGAGACAGACAAACAGAAAGAUACACUGUUGUGAGAAACAGUUCCCUGCUUAAACCUACUCCUCUCAUUUGUCAUCCUCCAAGUAUGGAAGAGUAUUUAAAGCAUAUCUCUGCUGCAGUCUUAUGCUGGUGCACUGCAUGCAGUAAAUUACAUUUACUGUUUACCCGUCACUUAUUACUGGCACAUCUUACAGUCAAUCGAUGCAUCAUAAGCAUUAAGCCAUGCACUUUUUGAUCAGUUUCUCUCAUGAUGAAGUAUCUUAAAGGAUGUAUCAGGCUUUGCUGGCUUAAGUAUUUGAAAGUGUGCAGGGGAAGGGGGAGGGGGUACUGAUGAGCUGUAGCCACAAGGGGUGUGUUGAUACUCAUCCCUUGAUGUGAUUCAAUUUCCUGAUACUGGUUACACAGUUUGAUGUUGUAUAGCAUGUUGGCUAAUAACAAUGGCAAGGUAGGGUUUGAUUCACUGGUCAGCAGCAUGCACACCACACUGCUUCACUAAGAGUCCUUAGGAAAGACUCCAAAUACUACUGUAUAUUCAUCUGCUUCUUUAACAUCCUAUUAAUUUGUUUCUGUGUCUUGAGAAGUCUUUAGCAUGCAUUAUAAGACAAGGACAACACAGGACCACCUUAACACCCAAACAAAGGAAAAAUCUGCUACUGAGGAUACUGGGAACUGUCCUGUGGGCUCCUAACUAGUCCUAUACUUUACACUGCCACAAUAUUUUGCUGUACCACUACUUCAACAGAUUUCAUCUAAUUGUGUUUAAAGUGCUGCUGACUACCAGAAGUCUAAGAGCCUCAAAUGUGGAAUUGGUCUAAUCUAGGUUAAA